rnacentral:rRNA from 1 species
ACGCUCGACACCUACGGGAGCAGCAGUGGGGAAUAUUGCACAAUGGGGGAAACCCUGAUGCAGCGACGCCGCGUGAGCGAAGAAGUAUCUCGGUAUGUAAAGCUCUAUCAGCAGGGAAGAAGAUGACGGUACCUGACUAAGAAGCACCGGCUAAAUACGUGCCAGCAGCCGCGUAAUCUGAGCGGGCUGGCAAGGC